GAAAGCAAUAAAUUAUGACAAUGUUAAAAUAUUUUUCUGGUCUUUCAGUUAACUUCGUUUGGGGCUGUAGAACCUUUUCUGCUUGCCUUGAGAGGGUAAUUACGCUCCGUGGGCUCUUUCCCAAACCUUUGGUGACGACACUGCAUGUAAACUCCAGGCCAACAGACGACCCCUCCCCUCCCCUCCUCCCACUUUUUAUCUUGCCGGCGGAGGAGACUCCCCAGUACUUCCUGCAGUAUAUAUUCUGCCUCUGAUCUCCGUACUUAAUAGCCAAGUCCUGGUUUAUGCUUUAUAAUGUGUUGACAAGUUUUCUAACAGACUUUCUGAAAUAAUGCACAUAUAUUCACGUCGGUUAGAAACCCACCGUAUUUUUAGAGUCGAGUAGAUCUAUACCCUAAUGCAGCGAGAGAGUGUAAAUCAUAGAGGAUUUCAUAGUCCUUUCAGUAGUUUUCGGUAUGAAGUAUGAGCCGCGUGGCCUCCAGACGUAACCUUUUAGAAAAAAAGACAGUGCUUUUAUUUUAUGGUGUAAAGUGCUUUUAGCUCCAGGGCUCUGAACGUGAAUGUGGUCAACAAACAGCUCGAAGAGGGAGACUUAAUACAGCCCCAGCCCUCGUGCGGAGGAUCUCCUGGCGCUGGGGACUCGGGCUGAGCUGGAGAAUGAAGGGUUAAAAGGUCUGUCUCGAUGGAAACUACAAGAUUAAAAUAAAAUAUUCACUUUCU
rnacentral:lncRNA from 1 species